rnacentral:lncRNA from 1 species
CCUCUGUCCUGUGUCGCCUCUCUGUCGCUCCGCCUUUCAAACAAGGAAGCAAACCUUAAAGACACAGGGUCAGACACAGACGCCCCUGACUGACCGGAUGCCAAGGACUCUGGGCAAAGCCUCCGUGCCCGCACGGCGGGGGUCUCGUCAGGCCUCAGUCACCCUGUGAGCCCUCCUCAGGGCACUCCUGCACCCUGUGAGCCCUGCGCAGGCACCCCUGCACCGUGUGAGCCCUCCCCUGGGGCACCCCUGCACCGUGUGAGCCCUCCCCUGGGCACCCCUGCACCUGUGAGCCCUGCUCAGGAUACUCCUGCACCGUGUGAGCCCUCCCCACGGCACCCCUGCACCUGUGAGCCCUGCACAGGCAACCCUGCACCUGUGAGCCCUCCCCAGGGCACCCCUAAACCCUGUGAACCCUCCCCUGGGCACCCCUGCACCUGUGAGCCCGCCCCUGGGCACCCCUGCACCUGUGAGCCCGCCCCUGGGCACCCCUGCACCUGUGAGCCCUGCUCAGGAUACUCCUGCACCGUGUGAGCCCUCCCCAGGGCACCCCUGCACCUGUGAGCCCUCCCCAGGGCACCCCUGCACCGUGUGAGCCCUCCCCUGGGCACCCCUGCACCUGUGAGCCCUCCCCAGGGCACCCCUGCACCCUGUGAGCCCUCCCCAGGGCACCCCUGCACCCUGUGAGCCCUCCCCUGGGCACCCCUGCACCCUGUGAGCCCUCCCCUGGGCACCCCUGCACCUGUGAGCCCUCCCCAGGGCACCCCUGCACCCUGUGAACCCUCCCCUGGGUGCCCAAGUCAUUCUUCAAAGCAGAAUUCCUUUAUUCAAGGGGAGUUUAAAAAGUUCAUGGAAAAUGGAACUAAAAGUUAAGCGUAUAUUUGUUAUAUAAAAUGUAAGCUGAUUUUUGGUGCAAAAAAUUUUGAAAUCUCUGCAUCAUUUUUCACAGUGUGCAUUUUCAGUUAACAGGCGUGAACAAGUAUAUAAUGAAACUUUCGAAAUCCGAUGAACCAUAAACACUUUACAAGCUGUGGGAGUUUAUUCCUGCAUUUUAUCUGGAGGACUGGCUUUGUAUUUGUCAAUAAUUUGCCAACACAAUAAUUUAAUAAAGUUUUUGGCUAAUGUAAAAUCCA